UACGUAGGGGGCUAGCGUUGUCCGGAUUUAUUGGGCGUAAAGAGCUCGUAGGUGGUUCGGUAAGUCGGAUGUGAAAUCUCCAGGCUCAACCUGGAGGGGUCAUUCGAUACUGCCGUGACUAGGGUUCGGUAGAGGAGUGUGGAAUUCCUGGUGGAGCGGUGAAAUGCGUAGAGAUUAGGAAGAACACCAGUGGCGAAGGCGACUUACUGGACUGUAACUGACGACUGA
rnacentral:rRNA from 1 species